GGCCUUGGAAUGUGGCCUGGAACAUUCUUUCCUGAAGUGCAACAUACCCUUCAUGUUCCAGGUCUUCAGCGUAGGACUGGUUCCUAGGUCUCCAGGACAUUUCAGUGCUGGGGUACCGGGCUCCUGGAUUGGAGAAGCUCUGCGAGCAGUACCAUAGCCUGGAACAAAGCUGGGGAUUGCCAUGUGGCCCAGAGCAUAUCACUUGACUCUGUGGAGCCUGGUUUCCUUCUCCAUCGAGUAACAAGCUUCAACCAGGAGGACUAAGCCUUCAUAGCAAGCCUAACACUCCUGAAGGAGCCCAGAGCCCUCCUGCACACACUCAAGCAGAACUGAAUCUAUAAACAGGCACAGAACUCUCCACUCCCCACAGCCCCAGACGCUUGUUAUGAAUCACGAGGACCCACAGAGUAAUGCGACCCAGCUGUCCGGUUUGGCUGUCAACACUCAGGUAUCCCUCUACCCAGGUAUCCCUCUACCAUGGCCAGAGCCCGGACCAUGAGUAUUAUGGGAGUUUUAAUGACGUGACAGGAGCUAGGCACUGCUAUGCCCUACGGCAUUUAUUUUAUUUUUUGCACCGUGGCCUAAAAUGUCUUUUCUUGCUGCGGUUUUCAGAAGACCUGACCAUGCCCUCCACUUUUCUUUGCUGCUAAAGUGAAGAACAACUUACCCCAUGGCAUACAGCUCAGGUACUCGAGACCUGCUGGGGUCCUGACCCACCUCCCCCUCCUCGCCAGGAGCCUCCAAUUCUGACUCUUUCCUAGCAUUGCCAGGUACAGCUGUUCUCCUGAGUUGCACAGAAAACAAUAAGAAGGACAAAGAAACAUCCCCCCCACCAAAUAAAAGUUACUCAGCAAUCACCAUAGUAACAAA